rnacentral:rRNA from 1 species
UACGUAGGGGGCAAGCGUUGUCCGGAUUUAUUGGGCGUAAAGCGCUCGCAGGUGGUUCGUCGCGUCGUGCGUGAAAGACCCCGGCUCAACUGGGGGAGGUCGUGCGAUACGGGCGGACUGGAGGCCAGUAGGGGGAUGCGGAAUUCCGGGUGUAGUGGUGGAAUGCGUAGAGAUCCGGAGGAACACCAGCGGCGAAGGCGGCCUGCUGGGCCGAUCCUGACGCUGAGGCGCGAAGGCGUGGGGAGCGAACGGG